rnacentral:rRNA from 1 species
UACAGAGGUCUCAAGCGUUGUUCGGAUUCAUUGGGCGUAAAGGGUGCGUAGGUGGCGCGGUAAGUCGGGUGUGAAAUCUCGGAGCUUAACUCCGAAAUUGCAUUCGAUAACUGCCGUGCUUGAGGACUGGAGAGGAGACUGGAAUUUACGGUGUAGCAGUGAAAUUGCGUAGAGAUCAUAAGGAAGACCGUGGCGAAGCGGGUCGUCG